ACUAUACCUCUUUAACAACAAUAGCAUUUAAAACCCACGAAAAAAGAUAAAAAAUAUAUGUCUUUUAACCAAAACAAAUUCUUGUGGUUUGCAAUUUUUUUCAUGGAAUUUAUAUCUAAGGAUGUUUUUGUACGAUCGCGAGUGCGAUGAACCGUGCUUCGGGGCCACCCACAGAAGUAACUUUUAUAUUAGCUAAUUAAAGCAAAUUUUAUAAAAAAAAAGUUAUGUAUUUUUGUAAUUAAGAUCGAGGUGUUUAUAUCUGUUUAUUGAUACACAAACAGACCACAAAACUGAUAAAAUAUCUAUCUAAAACGGCAAUGUUUACUGGUCUAACAAUGAAACACUAAUAGUUAAGUGGUGUAACGUGACGUGUUUGGAACAUCAGCCAAUCAGACGCAGAAGACAUAGGACAUGCCUGGGCAUGUUACUCAAAAGCGUGACGCGUGUUUUAUAGUCAGUACCAAAAACCCGUGCCAAGAUAUCUAUUAAGCACAUUUUAGACACGAGAAAUAAAUCUAGAUUAAAUUAUUUAAGGAUCGCUGUAUGAGGCAAAAUGGAAUGCUCUUUACUAAUGGUUAUAUUUUUCCUGAGCUUCAUUGGCCUUGUACAGUCUUCGUGCAAUUUAAUUUGUUCUCCUGGUGAAUUCCUUUCUCCGCCAUGUAACUGCAUGCCUUGCCCG